rnacentral:rRNA from 1 species
UACGAAGGGGGCUAGCGUUGCUCGGAAUUACUGGGCGUAAAGGGCGCGUAGGCGGCCACCGCAAGUCGACUGUGAAAUCUCCGGGCUUAACCCGGAAAGGUCAGCCGAUACUGCGGGGCUAGAGUGCAGAAGGGGCAACUGGAAUUCUCGGUGUAGCGGUGAAAUGCGUAGAUAUCGAGAGGAACACCUGCGGCGAAGGCGGGUUGCUGGGCUGACACUGACGCUGAUGUGCGAAAGCUAGGGGAGCGAACGGG